AGUGAACGCUGGCGGUAGGCCUAACACAUGCAAGUCGAACGGCGGCACAGUAAGAGCUUGCUCUUACGGGUGGCGAGUGGCGGACGGGUGAGGAAUACAUCGGAAUCUACUUUUUCGUGGGGGAUAACGUAGGGAAACUUACGCUAAUACCGCAUACGACCUACGGGUGAAAGCAGGGGAUCUUCGGACCUUGCGCGAUUGGAUGAGCCGAUGUCGGAUUAGCUAGUUGGCGGGGUAAAGGCCCACCAAGGCGACGAUCCGUAGCUGGUCUGAGAGGAUGAUCAGCCACACUGGAACUGAGACACGGUCCAGACUCCUACGGGAGGCAGCAGUGGGGAAUAUUGGACAAUGGGCGCAAGCCUGAUCCAGCCAUACCGCGUGGGUGAAGAAGGCCUUCGGGUUGUAAAGCCCUUUUGUUGGGAAAGAAAAGCAGCAGGUUAAUACCCCGCUGUUCUGACGGUACCCAAAGAAUAAGCACCGGCUAACUUCGUG
rnacentral:rRNA from 1 species